CCUACGGGAGGCAGCAGUGGGGAAUCUUGCGCAAUGGGCGAAAGCCUGACGCAGCCAUGCCGCGUGUAUGAUGAAGGUCUUAGGAUUGUAAAAUACUUUCACCGGUGAAGAUAAUGACUGUAGCCGGAGAAGAAGCCCCGGCUAACUUCGUGCCAGCAGCCGCGGUAAUACGAAGGGGGCUAGCGUUGCUCGGAAUUACUGGGCGUAAAGGGAGCGUAGGCGGACAUUUAAGUCAGAGGUGAAAUCCCGGAGCUUAACUUCGGAACUGCCUUUGAUACUGGGUGUCUUGAGUGUGAGAGAGGUAUGUGGAACUCCGAGUGUAGAGGUGAAAUUCGUAGAUAUUCGGAAGAACACCAGUGGCGAAGGCGACAUACUGGCUCAUUACUGACGCUGAGGCUCGAAAGCGUGGGGAGCAAACAGGAUUAGAUACCCUGGUAGUCCACGCCGUAAACGAUGAUUGCUAGUUGUCGGGAAGCUUGCUUCUCGGUGACGCAGCUACGCAUAAGACAUCCGCCGUCGGGUAGGUACGGUCGCGAGAAUUAAAACGUUAAAACGGUAAGUUAGACGGCGUGAGACGUGCCGACGGACGACGACGAGGGAGGUAGG
rnacentral:rRNA from 1 species